rnacentral:RNase_P_RNA from 1 species
AGAGCAGAAUAGAUGAUCGCCCCGAUUAUCCAUUCAAGUUGGGGCACGGGUCAACUCCUGCCCCAACAACGGAAAAAUCGGGGAGGAAAGUCCGAGCUCUCCAGGGCAAGCCCUGCACCGUACGGUGCGGGGCAAGGUGCCACGUAACUCGUGGGCCCGCAAGGGACGGAAAGUGCCACAGAAAACAGACCGCCCUCAAGUCCCGCCUCGGCGGGAUCGAAGGGUAAGGGUGAAAAGGUGGUGUAAGAGACCACCCGUUCCCGUGGUAACACGGGUCUGGGUAAACCCCACCUGAGAGCAAGACCGAGUAAGGAAGGAGAGGUGGCCCGCCUCAUUUCUCCCCGCCACCGGCGAGGGGAAGUUACUUCCGGGUAGGUCGCUUGAGUCUUUUGGCGACAAAAGACCCAGAUAGAUGAUCAUCGCCCCGAGUCCCGCUGACGGCGGGAUCGAGGGGAACAGAACUCGGCUUAUUUUCUGCUCUGGCA